rnacentral:rRNA from 1 species
UACGGGAGGCAGCAGUGGGGAAUAUUGCACAAUGGGCGCAAGCCUGAUGCAGCCAUGCCGCGUGUAUGAAGAAGGCCUUCGGGUUGUAAAGUACUUUCAGUCGUGAGGAAGGUGUUAAGGUUAAUAACCUUAGCAAUUGACGUUAGCGACAGAAGAAGCACCGGCUAACUCCGUGCCAGCAGCCGCGGUAAUACGGAGGGUGCGAGCGUUAAUCGGAAUUACUGGGCGUAAAGGGCACGCAGGCGGUUAAUUAAGUUGGAUGUGAAAUCCCCGGGCUUAACCUGGGAAUGGCAUUCAAGACUGGUUAGCUAGAGUCUUGUAGAGGGGGUAGAAUUCCAUGUGUAGCGGUGAAAUGCGUAGAGAUGUGGAGGAAAUACCGGUGGCGAAGGCGGCCCCUGGACAAAGACUGACGCUCAUGUGCGAAAGCGUGGGGAGCAAACAGGAUUAGAUACC